GACGAACGCUGGCGGCGUGCUUAACACAUGCAAGUCGAACGGAAAGGCCCUGCUUUUGUGGGGUGCUCGAGUGGCGAACGGGUGAGUAACACGUGAGUAACCUGCCCUUGACUUUGGGAUAACUUCAGGAAACUGGGGCUAAUACCGGAUAGGAGCUCCUGCUGCAUGGUGGGGGUUGGAAAGUUUCGGCGGUUGGGGAUGGACUCGCGGCUUAUCAGCUUGUUGGUGGGGUAGUGGCUUACCAAGGCUUUGACGGGUAGCCGGCCUGAGAGGGUGACCGGCCCACAUGGGCCUGAGAUACGGCCCAGACUCCUACGGGAGGCAGCAGUGGGGAAUAUUGCACAAUGGGCGGAAGCCUGAUGCAGCAACGCCGCGUGCGGGAUGACGGCCUUCGGGUUGUAAACCGCUUUCGCCUGUGACGAAGCGUGAGUGACGGUAAUGGGUAAAGAAGCACCGGCUAACUACGUG
rnacentral:rRNA from 1 species